rnacentral:rRNA from 1 species
CCUACGGGAGGCAGCAGUGGGGAAUAUUGCACAAUGGGGGAAACCCUGAUGCAGCGACGCCGCGUGAGUGAAGAAGUAUUUCGGUAUGUAAAGCUCUAUCUGCAGGGAAGAAAAAGACGGUACCUUCUUUAGAAGCCCCGGCUAACGACGUGCCAGCCGCCGCGGUUAUACGUAGGGGGCAAGCGUUAACCGGAUUUACUGGGCGUAAAGGGAGCGUAAACGGCAGUGCAAGUCUGGAGUGAAAUGCCGGGGCUUAACCCCGGAACUGCGUUGGAAACUGUGCAGCUAGAGUGCAGGAGAGGUAAGUGGAAUUCCUGGUGUAGCGGUGAAAUGCGUAGAUAUUAGGAGGAACACCAGUGGCGAAGGCGGCUUACUGGACUGUAACUGACGUUGAGGCUCGAAAGCGUGGGGAGCGAACAGGAUUAGAUACCCCAGUAGUC